rnacentral:lncRNA from 1 species
GUAAGUAGAGGGACUCUAACUCUCAUCAGAGGAUGACACUAUGAGUUGGGGCAAUUUUCUGUUUAUUUCUUCAAACACUACACAAUGCCAUGCCCGUCUAAGGGUCGGGAUACAUAUUUAUAGCCCAAGGGGCUGCAACAUAUGCUUCCUAGAGUUGCGAAUAUGCUGUCCUACAAACUGCACUAACCACUAGGUGCUGUUGUACUCUAGUCAAAAAGGAAAAACUGCAAACUGCAGCAAGCUGCUGUCCUCCAAAAGCUGAAACUGAAAAGGAGAUGCCUGCAGGCUGUCCUCGCAGUCAAAAGACUGCUGCUGUGCUGCCUGCCGCAGUCCUUGCUGUCUGCCGCAGUCCUUGCAGUCAAAAGCUGCUGCGUUGCUGCUGUCCUGCAGCAGAGAUGCUGUGCGGACUGCGGACUGUCCUCCACACAUGACUUAUUCCAUCAUUCUCCCCCUAAGUCUUGUGUGUCGCCUUGUGGGAAAGUUGAGCCAUUCCGGACCUGGAGCAAAGCUCAACAAACUUAAUCUUCCCAAGGGGCUUGGUGAGCAGGUCUGCAAGCUGAUCCUUGGUGUUGAUGUAGCGCGCCUUGAUGCUCCCUUCUGCCAAGCAGUCUCGGAUGAAGUGGUAUCUCAGCCGGAUGUGCUUGCUCCGUUCAUGGAACACGGGGUUCUUGGCCAAUGCCAGAGCGGACUGGCUGUCCACCCUGAGUUCCACCGCUCCAGUGUCUCUCCCGAGGAGAUCACCGAGCAGUCGAGCCAGCCAGAGCGCCUGAGUCGAAGCAGUGGACGCCGCUAUGUACUCGGCCUCGCAGCUGGACAUGGCCACCACCUGCUGCUUGACCGACUGCCAGCUAAUGAGGCACUUGCCGAGGAAGAAGAGGAUCCCGCUUGUGCUCUUGCUAGUGUCGAUGUCGCCGGCGUGGUCGCUGUCGCUGUACCCGACAAGGUGUGCCUCCCCAGGGCACCUCGGGUAGUAGAGACCGUGGUCGAGAGUCCCCGCAACAUAGCGGAUGAUCCUCUUCACAGCCUGCUCAUGCUCCGUCGUCGGUCGCUGCAAGAACCGACUAACGUAGCCGACGGAGUAUGCCAAGUCAGGUCGUGUGUGGACGAGGUAGCGAAGGCUCCCCACAAGACGCCGGUACUGAGUAGCAUCCACCUCCGUCGUGCUGUCGCGACUCAGCUUCAGCCUCUCCUCCAUCGGAGUGAGAGCUGGGUUGCAGUCGGUGAGCCCAGCCAGCUCAACAAUGCGCUUGGCAUAGGCGGUCUGGCGAAGUGUGAUCCCGGAGUCUCCCUGGUGCACCUCAAUCCCCAGGUAGAAGGAGAGAUGCCCCAGGUCACUCAUUUGGAAGGUGGCCUUCAUCUCUUCCUUGAACGCUGCCACCUCUGCAUCCUUGGCGCCGGUGAUCACCAAGUCGUCGACGUAGACACCCACCAGCAGGGCAUUAUCUCCAUUGCCCCGCCGAUAGAUGGCCGCCUCGUGCGGGCUUGGCAUGAAGCCCAUCCUCUUGAGCGUGGAAUCCAGCUUGGCAUUCCACGCCCUUGGUGCCUGUCGCAAGCCGUAGAGAGCCUUGCGCAGGCGCAACACCUUGCCCUCCUUGCCAGGGAUCGCAAAACCUGGCGGCUGGUGUACAUAGACCUCCUCCUUUAAGUCGCCGUUAAGAAACGCCGACUUGACAUCCAUGUGAUGAACAUGCCAGCCCUCCAGGGCUGCCAGCGCAAGGAGGAGUCGCACGGAUUCCAUCCGUGCUACAGGGGCGAAGGCAUCGUCGAAGUCGAUCCCCUCCUGCUGCAAGAAACCGCGUGCCACCAAGCGAGCCUUAUGCUUGACGAUGGCGCCGGCUUCAUCCCUCUUCAGUUUGAACACCCACUUAAGGGUGAUCGCGCGAUGACCAUGAGGGAGAUCAGCGAGCUCCCAAGUGCGGUUCGUCUCAACCGCGUCCAUCUCCGACUGCAUCGCGGCACGCCAAGCCGCAUGUUGCUCGGCCUCCGCGAAAGACCGAGGCUCACCAUCGUCGCAUGCAAGAUGCAACUCUCCUGCCAGAAUGCGAGAUGCAGGGCCUGGCACCGACGGGUCGAUGAGAAGGCCCUCCACCCUUCGAUACCGCAACGGCUCGCCGUCGUAGCACGCGUCGACGCGCUCCUCGUCGCGGGACAGAGGGGUCACGAGCUCCACUGGGUCGUGCUCGACACGAGCUGGUGUCGGAGAGGACGUUCCCGGAGAGGGUACCGUCGGUGCUGGAGUACGUGGUGGCGAAGAGCUCGCUGUAGCCGGAGUCGUGGCUGGAGUGCGUGGUGGUGAAGAGCUCGUUGUAGCAGGAGCUGGAGAGUGUGGCGCUGGAGUCGGUGGAGACUUAGGGGCUGGGGUAGACCUGCUCGGAGAAGAGUUGCCUACUCCCCCAGCUCCCUCAAAGUGGACGUACUCGAUGGUGAAGUCGUACGUCGGAGUCGUGCCGUCGUCCACCGCCUUGUCCCACGCCCAUCCUCGCCCUUCGUCGAACACUACGUCGCGCGCCGUGCACACACGCUGUGUUCUUGGGUCAAGGAUGCGGUAGGCCUUCGAGCCCUCCGCGUAGCCAAUGAACACCCCCGGGGUGCUCCUAUCGUCGAGCUUGCUGAUGUGGUCAAGCUCCUUGGUGAACGCGAGGCAGCCGAAGACCCGUAGAUGAGAGACCGCCGGCUUGCGCCCAUGCCAAGCCUCGUACGGUGUCAUCCCGUUGAGAGCCUUGGUGGGCGAGCGGUUGAGGAUGUAAACCGCUGUCACCACCGCCUCUCCCCAGAAGACAGCUGGCAUUCCUCUCUGCUUGAGGAGAGCCCGAGCCAUCCCCACAACCGUCUGGUUGCGUCGCUCGACGACGCCGUUCUGCUGCGGGCUGUACGGCGCGGAGUAGUGGCGCUGAACGCCCUCAUCCGCGCAGUACGACGCGAACUCAGCCGCCGUGAAUUCGCCACCGUUGUCGGUGCGCAGCACGCGCAGCUUGCGGCCGCACUCCGCCUCCGCAGCGACCUGCACACGCCUGAUGGCGUUCGCAGCCUCUCCCUUGCUGCCAAGGAUCAUCACCCACAUGUAGCGGGAGAGAUCGUCGACGAGCAGCAAGAAGUAGCGUCGUCCUCCUGGUGUGGCUGGUGUCACCGGGCCACACAAGUCCCCAUGCACGAGCUCGAGCCUCUCCUUGGCUCGGAAGCUCGACUGUUGGGGAAAGGGGAGUCGUCUCUGCUUUGUCAACACGCAGACAUCGCAGAAUUGCUCCACAUGGUCAAGGCACGGCAGGCCUCGUACCAUCUCCUUGGCACUGAGCCGCUUCAGGGCCUCGAAGUUAAGGUGCCCGAAGCGCUCGUGCCACUGCCAUGCCCCGUCGUCUCGACGAGCAGCAAGACAGCAAGGUUGUGCCACCUUCACAUUGAGGAUGUAAAGCCGAUUUGCACUCCUGCGUACCUUGGCAAGAAGGCGACGAGAGGGAUCCCAGAACCUCAUGACUCCGUGCUCAACCUCCACGCGCGAACCGUUCUCAUCCAGCUGUCCCAAGCUGAUGAUAGAGUUCCUCAACGCGGGGAUGUAGUAGACUCCGGUGAGCAGCCUGUGCUCACCAGACGCGGCGGUGAAGACGACUGAGCCGGCGCCCUUGAUCUCUACGCCGGAGGCGUCCCCAAACUUGACGGAGCCUCGGACGCUAGAGUCAAGCUCGGUGAAGAACUCCCGUCGGCCGGUCAUGUGAUGAGUGGCGCCGGUGUCGAGGCACCAUCCUUCGAUCAUGUCCUUGUUGGAGCCGUCGCCGAGGAAAGCGCGUGCUUUCGACUCAUCAAGGUGGAGGAGUGCCGCUGCGGCCGGUGCCGCUGGAGAUGGCUCGAUGCUUGCAUGUGCCAGGAGCAGGGCCUCCUCCUCCGCCUCCGCCUGUGCGACGUUGGCCUGGCCACGUCGUGGCUGCCGACAAUCCCUGGCCCAGUGGCCAAGCUUGCCGCAGUUGUGGCAGCCGUCGUCUCGUGCCGGCUUCUUGUUGCCGACGGCGCCGCCUUGGGCACCUCCACGAGCACCACCCUCAGCAUGUCCUCGCGCCCCGGCCUGGGCGCCUCCACGCGGCUUGCGCGGCUUGCCGCGUUUGCGGCCUCGUGUCGAGGAGGAGGACUCCCCCUUCUUCUUGUCACCCUGGCAGGCCUCCCACUGUUCCCGAGUGAGAUGUAGCUUCCCGCCGAUAGUGAUAGGCCCAGAGAGAGCCUGUGGUUCGUCGCCGUCGACCACCUUGAGGCGACCAAUCGCCUCUUCGAUCGUCAUCGUGGAGAGGUCUAGCAGAGACUCGAUCGAGCGAGCAAUCUGCCUGUACUUCUCGGGGAUGCAACGGAAGAGCUUCUCAACAGCUCUCUCCUCAUCGUAGGUGUCGUCGCCGAACUGCACCAUCUUCUGCAACAGAGUGUUGAGGCGGAGAGCAAAGUCAUCAACAUCCUCACCUGGCUUGAAGGCCAGGUUCUCCCACUCCUUGCGAAGUGCCUGCAGUGUGGUCUUGCGGGCACGAUCGCUGCCGAUGCGGGUCGCAGCGAUGGCGUCCCAGGCCUCCUUGGCAGUCCGCUUCUGGGAAAGCGAAAACUGCAUCUCGGGCGGGACUGCAGCAAUGAGAGCAUCCAGCGCCCGCCGAUCCUCGUGGUAGUCGACGUCGUCGUAACGAACUGCUUCCCACAUGUGGCGAACCUGGAGCCGUACCCUCAUCACCGCGGCCCACUCGACGUAGUUGGUCUUGGUGAGGGUAGGCCACCCACCGCCGGGACCGAUGUCCCUGACAAUGGCCUGGGCCAUGCGGCGACCAUGGUACCGAUCCGGGGAGGGAGAACCGCGCCGCCUGUAGAGGCCGCGAUCUCCGUCGACUCGGUCGCCGCCGCCGGGAGCACCGCCGGCGCGUCUACGCCCGUCUGGGCUACCGCCGCGUGCGCCCCUGCCUGGAGCGCCGUCAGCGUGUCGGCGCCUAUCCGGGCUGCCGCCACGCGCGCCCCCAUGGGGAUGCGCGGCUGCCCACUGUGCCGCCUGCUCUCGCGCUGCUUCCCUCGCCAGCCUGAGCUCUUCGUCGGUGUUGUCGUCGACAGAAGCAGAGCUGCCUGCUCUACUGCCGCGCAGAACCUCGAGCUCUGUUGCCGCCGCACGUGCAGCAUCCGCCGCCUCCGCUGCUUCUACUUCCGCUCUCGCCGCUGCCAGUUCCGCCGCCGCCAACCGUGCUGCCCUCGCCGCUGUCGCUGCAGCCGCUGCUGCUGCUCGCUCGCGUCCUUGUGCCGCGGCGACCUCGGCCUCCUGCUGGCGCCGCGCACUCGAAGUGACCGAGCGUAGGGACAUGGUGGGCUAGUGAGGGGUCGCUGCGAGUGGAAGAGGCUGUCUCAGACGAAAGGCUGCUCGUCUGAGCAGGGGAGGAAGGAACAGUUGGAGCUCUUGCUGCCGACUGAGUGUGGGGAGAGGCGCGGGAAGGAGAUGAGCAAGAGAUGUUUAGGCUACAGGAUAGUUUGGCUCUGAUACCAAUUGUAAGUAGAGGGACUCUAACUCUCAUCAGAGGAUGACACUAUGAGUUGGGGCAAUUUUCUGUUUAUUUCUUCAAACACUACACAAUGCCAUGCCCGUCUAAGGGUCGGGAUACAUAUUUAUAGCCCAAGGGGCUGCAGCAUAUGCUUCCUAGAGUUGCGAAUAUGCUGUCCUACAAACUGCACUAACCACUAGGUGCUGUUGUACUCUAGUCAAAAAGGAAAAACUGCAAACUGCAGCAAGCUGCUGUCCUCCAAAAGCUGAAACUGAAAAGGAGAUGCCUGCAGGCUGUCCUCGCAGUCAAAAGACUGCUGCUGUGCUGCCUGCCGCAGUCCUUGCUGUCUGCCGCAGUCCUUGCAGUCAAAAGCUGCUGCGUUGCUGCUGUCCUGCAGCAGAGAUGCUGUGCGGACUGCGGACUGUCCUCCACACAUGACUUAUUCCAUCA